rnacentral:rRNA from 1 species
UACAGAGACUGCAAGCGUUAUUCGGAUUCACUGGGCGUAAAGGGUGCGCAGGCGGCCAAGUGUGUGAGGCGUGAAAGCCCAGGGCUUAACCCUGGAAUUGCACCUCAAACUACAUGGCUAGAGCAUUGGAGAGGGAAGCGGAAUUCACGGUGUAGCAGUGAAAUGCGUAGAUAUCGUGAGGAACACCAGAGGCGAAGGCGGCUUCCUGGACAAUUGCUGACGCUCAGGCACGAAAGCGUGGGGAGCAAAAGGG